GGGAUAGAGAUCAGAGGGAAUGUUUUAAAGUGCAAUAACACCUUCCGCCUUGUUGUUUGUCUUUUUAAAUUUUCUCUCCUUAGAAACAAGCAGUCAGAAAAUAAUUCUUUACAUUUUUUUUCUGGAGUAGAAGACAACAGAGUGAUCUCUUCCUCUUAAUAAUGUUCAGGGAACUGACCUUGGCCCUGAGAUCUGCUCUUUCCCCUGAGAGCCAGAGCCCCGGCCUGGCUCUGCCUCCUGCCUCCUCCUGCCGGUGAUCUCUGCCUGCCCCACAGCGUCUCUCCAGGUCUGAGCCAUGGGGGACUCCUGCCUCUGCCGCCUGUCCCUGCUUCUCCUUCUCCAGCUCCC
rnacentral:lncRNA from 1 species